AUUGAACGCUGGCGGCAUGCUUUACACAUGCAAGUCGAACGGCAGCGCGGGCUUCGGCCUGGCGGCGAGUGGCGAACGGGUGAGUAAUAUAUCGGAACGUACCCAAGAGUGGGGGAUAACGUAGCGAAAGUUACGCUAAUACCGCAUACGAUCUAAGGAUGAAAGCAGGGGAUCGCAAGACCUUGUGCUCCUGGAGCGGCCGAUAUCUGAUUAGCUAGUUGGUGAGGUAAAGGCUCACCAAGGCAACGAUCAGUAGCUGGUCUGAGAGGACGACCAGCCACACUGGAACUGAGACACGGUCCAGACUCCUACGGGAGGCAGCAGUGGGGAAGUUUGGACAAUGGGGGCAACCCUGAUCCAGCAAUGCCGCGUGAGUGAAGAAGGCCUUCGGGUUGUAAAGCUCUUUUGUCAGGGAAGAAAAGGCUGUGGCUAAUAUCCACAGCUGCUGACGGUACCUGAAGAAUAAGCACCGGCUAACUACGUGCCAGCCGCCGCCGUAA
rnacentral:rRNA from 1 species